rnacentral:rRNA from 1 species
UACGUAGGGUGCGAGCGUUACUCGGAAUUACUGGGCGUAAAGCGUGCGCAGGCGGUGAUGUAAGACAGGUGUGAAAUCCCCGGGCUUAACCUGGGAACUGCAUUUGUGACUGCAUCGCUGGAGUGCGGCAGAGGGGGAUGGAAUUCCGCGUGUAGCAGUGAAAUGCGUAGAUAUGCGGAGGAACACCGAUGGCGAAGGCAAUCCCCUGGACCUGUACUGACGCUCAUGCACGAAAGCGUGGGGAGCAAACAGG